AUUGAAAUGGGGAGUCAGUGAUGCUGUUAUUUCAUUCAAUGAUGGUCAUAUGGGUAGGCUAAAGGGCUCGGCAUUGCUCCUGGUAUCAACACCAUCAGAGGUCUUCAGCUUCUGGACAGCGUGCGAGUAAGGAAGGCUCAGUAUGCAGCUGAAUUUAAUACAAAAAAAGCAAGGGCAGCAAGGAGAAGAAAGCUUCUAGGUGAAGAAGAAGAACUAGAAGAUGACCCUGAUUACUCUGCUGGACACUUUUGAUAAUAGAAUAAAAGUUCACAGAGCAGUGGUGUGGAUCUGAUGGCACUCAUCUACCAAGUAUGGACAACAGAUGUGGGCUGGUGCUGUCUGCUGCCAGGUGAUCAGACAGAGGCUUUCAAACAGUCAACAAGGAGAAAAUGCUAUGAGAUUCUCAAUUAAAAGAAAAAUGCUGGGAACCUGAGAUGGCUCAAGGAAUGCAAUUUUGAAGAGGAGCAGCUAUAGUAAACUGUUGCUUGAAACCACAGUACCUACAAGGGCUUAUCAGUAGCUCUCUGCUUAUUUAAUUAUAUCAAGGGCAUUACUUAUAUUCUACUUGUACUAAAAAUGGAUGCAGAUGGACAUCUCACCCAAUGCUUAUAUUAGCUGGUACUUGCAUAUC